GCCGCUGUAGCCCAGUUGGUAGAGGCGUCGCCAGUAGAUACAGUUGGCGAAGGUGGUUGGUUCAAAUCCAGCCUGCGGUG